UUGAACGCUGGCGGCAGGCCUAACACAUGCAAGUCGAGCGGUAGCACAGAGAGCUUGCUCUCGGGUGACGAGCGGCGGACGGGUGAGUAAUGUCUGGGAAACUGCCUGAUGGAGGGGGAUAACUACUGGAAACGGUAGCUAAUACCGCAUAACGUCGCAAGACCAAAGUGGGGGACCUUCGGGCCUCAUGCCAUCAGAUGUGCCCAGAUGGGAUUAGCUAGUAGGUGGGGUAACGGCUCACCUAGGCGACGAUCCCUAGCUGGUCUGAGAGGAUGACCAGCCACACUGGAACUGAGACACGGUCCAGACUCCUACGGGAGGCAGCAGUGGGGAAUAUUGCACAAUGGGCGCAAGCCUGAUGCAGCCAUGCCGCGUGUGUGAAGAAGGCCUUCGGGUUGUAAAGCACUUUCAGCGGGGAGGAAGGCGAUAAGGUUAAUAACCUUGUCGAUUGACGUUACCCGCAGAAGAAGCACCGGCUAACUCCGUGCCAGCAGCCGCGGUAAUACGGAGGGUGCAAGCGUUAAUCGGAAUUACUGGGCGUAAAGCGCACGCAGGCGGUCUGUCAAGUCGGAUGUGAAAUCCCCGGGCUCAACCUGGGAACUGCAUUCGAAACUGGCAGGCUAGAGUCUUGUAGAGGGGGGUAGAAUUCCAGGUGUAGCGGUGAAAUGCGUAGAGAUCUGGAGGAAUACCGGUGGCGAAGGCGGCCCCCUGGACAAAGACUGACGCUCAGGUGCGAAAGCGUGGGGAGCAAACAGGAUUAGAUACCCUGGUAGUCCACGCCGUAAACGAUGUCGAUUUGGAGGUUGUGCCCUUGAGGCGUGGCUUCCGGAGCUAACGCGUUAAAUCGACCGCCUGGGGAGUACGGCCGCAAGGUUAAAACUCAAAUGGAUUGACGGGGGCCCGCACAAGCGGUGGAGCAUGUGGUUUAAUUCGAUGCAACGCGAAGAACCUUACCUGGUCUUGACAUCCACAGAACUUUCCAGAGAUGGAUUGGUGCCUUCGGGAACUGUGAGACAGGUGCUGCAUGGCUGUCGUCAGCUCGUGUUGUGAAAUGUUGGGUUAAGUCCCGCAACGAGCGCAACCCUUAUCCUUUGUUGCCAGCGGUUAGGCCGGGAACUCAAAGGAGACUGCCAGUGAUAAACUGGAGGAAGGUGGGGAUGACGUCAAGUCAUCAUGGCCCUUACGACCAGGGCUACACACGUGCUACAAUGGCAUAUACAAAGAGAAGCGACCUCGCGAGAGCAAGCGGACCUCAUAAAGUAUGUCGUAGUCCGGAUUGGAGUCUGCAACUCGACUCCAUGAAGUCGGAAUCGCUAGUAAUCGUAGAUCAGAAUGCUACGGUGAAUACGUUCCCGGGCCUUGUACACACCGCCCGUCACACCAUGGGAGUGGGUUGCAAAAGAAGUAGGUAGCUUAACCUUCGGGAGGGCGCUUACCACUUUGUGAUUCAUGACUGGGGUG
rnacentral:rRNA from 1 species